rnacentral:rRNA from 1 species
GAUGAACGCUGGCGGCGUGCCUAAUACAUGCAAGUCGAACGAAAACACGAGGAGCUUUCUCCUUUGACGUUAGCGGCUGACGGGCGAGUAACACGUAGAUAACCUACCUCUAAUACUGGGAUAACUACGUGAAACCAGAUAUACUACCGCCUAAUACAUCGAACCGCAUGGAUCAAUAGUGAAUGACGGCUUUCCUGUUACAAUUAGACGGAUCCGCGCCGGAUUAGCUAGUUGGUAAGGUAACGGCAUACCAAGGCAACGAUGCGUAGCCGACCUGAGAGGGUGAUCGGCCACACUGGAACUGAGACACGGUCCAGACUCCUACGGGAGGCAGCAGUAGGGAAUAUUCCGCAAUGGGCGAAAGCCUGACGCAGCAACGCCGCGUGAGUGAUGAAGGUCUUCGGAUCGUAAAGCCCUGUUAUUAGGAAAGAACAAAAGUGUAUUAAACUAUGCACGUCUUGACGGUACCUAAAGAGAAAGCCACGGCUAACUACGUG